rnacentral:rRNA from 1 species
UACGAAGGGGGCAAGCGUUGCUCGGAAUGACUGGGCGUAAAGCGCACGUAGGCGGCUUUGCAAGUCAGAGGUGAAAGCCCGGGGCUCAACCCCGGAAUUGCCUUUGAGACUGCAUCGCUAGAAUUGUGGAGAGGUAAGUGGAAUUCCGAGUGUAGAGGUGAAAUUCGUAGAUAUUCGGAAGAACACCAGUGGCGAAGGCGACUUACUGGACACAUAUUGACGCUGAGGUGCGAAAGCGUGGGGAGCAAACAGG